CCUACGGGAGGCAGCAGUGAGGAAUAUUGGUCAAUGGCCGAGAGGCUGAACCAGCCAAGUCGCGUGAGGGAAGACGGCCCUACGGGUUGUAAACCUCUUUUGUCGGGGAGCAAAGCGGACCACGUGUGGUUCUUUGAGAGUACCCGCAGAAAAAGCAUCGGCUAACUCCGUGCCAGCAGCCGCCGUCAUACGGAGGAUGCGAGCGUUAUCCGGAUUUAUUGGGUGUAAAGGGUGCGCAGGCGGAGGUGUAAGUCAGCGGUCAAAUGGCGGGGCUCAACCCCGUACCGCCGUUGAAUCUGCAUCACUUGAGUGCGCGAGAAGUAUGCGGAAUGCGUGGUGUAGCGGUGAAAUGCAUAGAUA
rnacentral:rRNA from 1 species